GGGGUUAUAGCUCAAUAGUUAGAGCACAUGCUUAUCAUGCACGAGGUCCUGGGUUCAAUCCCCGGUACCUCCA